GGGGUUGUAGCUCAGUUGGCUAGAGCAAAUGACUUUUAAUCAUUGGGUCCAGGGUUCGAAUCCCUGCAACCCCACCA
rnacentral:tRNA from 1 species